rnacentral:rRNA from 1 species
GACGAACGCUGGCGGCGUGCCUAAUACAUGCAAGUAGAACGCUGAAGAGAGGAGCUUGUUCUUCUUGGAUGAGUUGCGAACGGGUGAGUAACGCGUAGGUAACCUGCCUUGUAGCGGGGGAUAACUAUUGGAAACGAUAGCUAAUACCGCAUAACAAUGGAUGACACAUGUCAUUUAUUUGAAAGGGGCAAUUGCUCCACUACAAGAUGGACCUGCGUUGUAUUAGCUAGUAGGUGAGGUAAUGGCUCACCUAGGCGACGAUACAUAGCCGACCUGAGAGGGUGAUCGGCCACACUGGGACUGAGACACGGCCCAGACUCCUACGGGAGGCAGCAGUAGGGAAUCUUCGGCAAUGGGGGCAACCCUGACCGAGCAACGCCGCGUGAGUGAAGAAGGUUUUCGGAUCGUAAAGCUCUGUUGUAAGUCAAGAACGGGUGUGAGAGUGGAAAGUUCACACUGUGACGGUAGCUUACCAGAAAGGGACGGCUAACUACGUG